UUGAGGUCUCUUCCAACCUAGAAAUUCUGUGAUUCUGUGAAGUCCAUACAGGGGCAGGAAAUAUUUCUUUGAGCUGACAUUAGCAAGAAUCAGUGCCAAAAGAUGGAGCACUGCUUCUUCCCUCACUUGCUCAUUCUCACCCUCUCCCUUGCUCUUGGUGCACACACGAACACCCAGCCCCGCACAACAGCAGGAUGCAGCAGGAGGAGAGCACUGGAGCAGCAAGCACGCAGCUCCUGAGCAACAGCCCUGAAAGGGAUUUCCUGGGCUGCUUCCAACACUGAAGAGAUGGGCAUGGGGCCACCAUGAGGAUGACAAGCUGGAAGGUGUCCACACCCCUGCUGUCCUGGGAUUUCACUGAUGAGGUAAGAGGAGAGCACUUAUGGCACAACUGUGUCUUGCAGCCCUUCUUUUCACAAUGGAGUUGCACAAAGUGGACUUGUGUGUCUGUGUGUUGAGAAAGAAAUUCAGUAAACGUGCUGCAGCGUUGUAGAGCACUCGUGGAUCUGCUCUGUAGACCUUGGUGGGGAUCUUUUGGGCCAGCUCCAGGCUUGCAGAAACAGAGAACUACUAUUAUCAUCUUGUCAAAACCCAUGCUUGUGUGGCUUCUCUUCCAUCUUCUGGCUUUCAUCACCUUAUUUCUUUACCUAUGACUGCAAAAACACACAUCAAUUGCCGGAAAAGCUUGCCAAAGACAAGAAGUUGGGAUGAUCGGUUGAGAUGAAGAAUGGUGAAUAGUGGAGUUUUCUACAAGACUUCUGAGCACCGGGUAUAGAUAAGAAAGGAAAUGUAAUGCCUUCCUUGAAGCAAAAGCUGAAGCAUGUGCACAGCAGCGGCGGUGUCUGGGGAGCACAUGCCCCAUGUCAGGAGCUGGAGGGAGCUCACGGUGCCCUUCACCUAGCUGGUAUUUGGAGGAUGUGCCCAGAAGAUGAAUGCAUUGCCAAGGCCUGCCUAAGCCCUGAUGAUGACUGAGUGGUUGAUCUGCUGAGACUGCUGCCCAGGACUGACCAUCUCUUUUUCCUGUUGCUGUCCAUUUGAUGGCUCCCAGUCCAAGUUCUCUGGGUCAGAGCAUCUCACUGCUGUGUGUGGUAGAAGUCUUGGCCAAUAAACCUAAGUUUAUAAAAUGUAUGGUAAUGUAAAUAGAUAAAUAAGGAUACAUUACUGUUCUGGUUCUGUUCUGAAUGUGUGAACAUUGGUGGUAUUCAUUCUAAAGUGGAGGGUCUGGGGCUUGUUAUGACAAUGUCUCUAAAAUAGAACCACAGAAUGGCUUGGGUUGGGAGCGACCUCAAAGACCAUCUGGUGUCCCCCCCCUGCCCUGGGUAGGGACACCUCCCACCAGACCAGGUUGCCCAAAGCCCCAUCCAGCCUGGCCUUGAGCAUCUCCAGGGAUGGGGCAUCCACAGCUUCUCUGGGCAGCCUGUGCCAGGGCCUCACCGUCCUCUGAAUAAAUAACUUUCACCUUAUAUCUAAUCUAAACCUACCCUCUUUUGGUUUAAAGCCAUUCCCCCUUGUCCUAUCACUGCACUCCCUGACAAGGAGUCCCUCCCCAGCUUCCCUGUAGGCCCCCUGAGGUACUGGAAGGCUGUUAUAAGGCCACUGUAUACUUCCCUCUGAAGUGUUUUCAGGUUAAUCUCAGUCCCUUGGUUGUUUGUAUGGGGAGACUGAGAACAGGAUCGAGCCAUACCUGCAGGAGGGGCAGACGCUGGCAACAGCAACAUCUCACAGGAAGGAACAAGAACACAGGCGGUGUAUCUCAGGAACCUGCUAACCCCGGUGAUAUCACUGAAUGAAAAGAGUCAUCCCCACCCUAAUAACCUUCAUAAAGUUGUGCUUUGUCACGGUGACUUUCUGCGUUUAAUAAAGCAGGGCAUUAAUCAAGGUUGGCCUUGGUGAAAAGGCAGUUGCUCCCACAAGUGUGUUCUCUUCUUGGAAUCACUCAUUAAUGCAUAUUUAUUUAGUAAUUUACUUUCUGGGUAUAAUUCCAUUCAUGUUCACUUUUUCAUUAUCAGCAAAGCGUAACUCAUUGCCCUGCUUUUCAAAAGGCAAUACUGGGAUAGCUCGGUGUUUGCUCAAAGCCAGGGAGUGCAUCAGUGACUCAUCAGAAGAGCAGUUUGAAUGGCAGGCAGUUUUUGUCAACAUUUAAUUCCAGGAAAAUCAAAAUAAGUCAUACAGGCUGGGAGAAAAACUUCAAAACAAAUGGACUGGAGCAAUCAGUCCCAAGCUGAUGCUGUCCAUAAGUUGGCUUGGAAUUGUACUCUGAAUGACAAACAGUGAAUGCUGUUUGCAAUGCAAAAUUUUUCAUCUGCAAAAGCUCCAUUCUCUAUAAAUCUCCAGCAGGGGUACUGUCCAUGGUCCACGGUUCCUCCUUUUGGGUAUCUCUGUCCUCCUGGUGGGACAGCAGAAGGAGGCAUGGCACGUGGCAUGCAGUACUCUUGUUGCCAUCCUCUUGCUGUCAAAGCAUGGGUCUUCUGGUCACGAUGUAAAUGAAUAACUCAUCCCUCAGAGCUUUCAAGUUCCACUGCUGCCAGCCAUGUCCUUGGGUACCAAUACUGACAAUUCCUUUGUCCUUUGCUGCUUUGUCUGGUAUUCUCACAUAUUUUCAUUUCUGUUUCACCUGUAGCUAUCCGACUAUUUUUUGGUCUUUGCCAUAGAGUUGCCUUCCAGGGGCUGUCUUGCAAAACAUGAUUGAUGGCAGUGUUCAGUCAAUUGGAGUAAGUCAGAUAUAGAAAGGCUUGAAAGCAGUCUCUGAACUGCCUGUAUGCAUGCGCACCCGUUGUAAGGCUCAAUAAAAUAAGCUGUCCCUGAGCAGGUAGUUCA